UAAAUCAAGUUAAUAAUAUAUUUAUAUAGUUGCAUAUUUUUUUAAAAAAUUAAUAAAUUCUAUAUAAAAUUAUAUACGAUUACAUAUAGAUUUGGAUACAGAUCGGAUAGUUAUCUAUCUAUAUCCAUAUCCUUUUUUUUUUUUACGGAUAUGGAUACAGAUAUGAUUAGCCAGAUUCUUAAAUUUCUAUCCAUAUCCGGAUUAAUUCAGAUAUGAAAAAAAAUCCAGACGGAUAAUAUCUAUACCAUUUUCACUCCUAGUUGGCACU
rnacentral:lncRNA from 1 species